ACUGGCGGGACUGCGCGGAGGCGACUACAGACAUGUCAGGGGUACGGGGCCUGUCGCGGUUGCCAAGCGCUCGGCGCUUGGCGCUGGCCAAGGCGUGGCCAACAGUGUUGCAAACAGGAACCCGAGGUGUUCACUUCACUGUUGAAGGAACGAGAGGGCAUCUGCUGAAGUUUCAGAUUCCAUUUCUGCUCAGUAGUGGAUCAUGAAUUUGAUGCAGUGAUGGUAGGCGCUAGAAGGGCAGGCUUGCGAGCUGCAUUUGGCCUUUCCGAGGCAGAGUUUGAUACAGCAUGUGUUACCAAGCUGUUUCCUACCAGGUCACACACUGUUGCAGCGCAGGUAGAAAAUUAUGGCAUGCCGUUUAGCAGAACUGAAGAUGGGAAGAUUUAUCAGCGUGCAUUUGGCAGACAGAGCCUCAAGUUUGGAAAGGGCGGGCAGGCCCAUCGGUGCUGCUGUGUGGCUGAUCGGACCGGCCACUCAAUAUUGCACACCUCAUAUGGGAGGGCACAUAUGGUGCUGGUUGUCUCAUUACGGAAGGAUGUUGUGGAGAGGGAGGCAUUCUCAUUAACAGUCAAGGUGAAAGGUUUAUGGAGCGAUACGCCCCCAUCGCGAAGGACCUGGCGUCUAGAGAUGUGGUGUCUCGGUGGAUGACUCUGGAGAUCCGCGAAGGAAGAGGCUGUGGCCCUGAGAAAGAUCACGUCUACCUGCAGCUGCACCACCUACCUCCAGAGCAGCUGGCCAUGCCCUUGCCCGGCAUUUCAGAGACAGCCAUGAUCUUCGCUGGUGUCGACGUCACGAAGGAGCCGAUCCCUGUCCUCCCCACUGUGCAUUAUAACAUGGACGGCAUUCCCACCAGCUACGAGGGGCAGUGGUGUCAACCGCCUCGGGGCAAACUCGCUGUUGGACCUGGUUGUCUGGUCAGGCAUGUGCCCUGAGCAUCGCAGAGUCGUGCAGGCCUGGAGAUAAAGUCCCUCCAAUUAAACCAAAUGCUGGGGAAGAAUCUGUCACGAAUCUUGACAAAUUGAGAUUUGCUGAUGGAAGAAGCAUAAGAACAUCGGAACUGUGACUCAGCAUGCAGAAGUCAACGCAAAAUCAUGCUGCCGUGUUCCGUGUGGGAAGCUUGUUGCAAGAAGGUUGUGGGAAAAUCAAGCUCUACGGAGACCUGAAGCAUCUGAAGACGUUUGACCGGGGAAUGGUCUGGAACACGGACCUGGUGGAGACCCUGGAGCUGCAGAACCUGAUGCUGUGUGCGCUGCAGACCGUCAGUGGAGCAGAGGCGUGGAAGGAGUCACGGGGCGCGCACGCCAGGGAAGACUACAAGGUGCGGAUCGAUGAGUACGAUCACUCCAAGCUCAUCCAGGGGCAACAGAAGAAGCCCUUUGAGGAGCACUGGAGGAAGCACACCCUGUCCUAUGUGGACGUCAGCACUGGGAAGUGCACAGCCAGAGAACAACACAUCACACACAAGAAACAGUUGUGCUCAUGUGAUGGGGGCCUCAGCACUAGGAAGGAGUGGACUGUUGGCGCACGCAGCAGCUUGAAUAAAUCUGAAAGUCACUACGCUGCGUAAGAGAAGCCAAAUAAAGCGCAUGCUGUGUACAGAGGGUGUCGAGAAUGUGUCCUACGUGACGGAAAGCAGAUCCGUGGUUCCCUGCAGACUGGCAGGAGCAGAUUCCAAAGGCACAGGAAGAAGCUUGCAGGUAGAAUGUGUUCAUUACCUUCUGCACAUUACACCACAGAAAAGCUGGGAAUAAAAAUGCUAACC
rnacentral:lncRNA from 1 species